GUCGUCAGCUCGUGCCGUGAGGUGUCGGGUUAAGUCCCAUAACGAGCGCAACCCCUAUCAUUAGUUACCAUCAUUAAGUUGGGGACUCUAGCGAGACUGCCAGUGAUAAACUGGAGGAAGGUGGGGAUGACGUCAAAUCAUCAUGCCCCUUAUGACCUGGGCUACAAACGUGAUACAAUGGCUGGAACAAAGGGAUGCGAAGCAGUGAUGUGGAGCGAAACCCAUAAAAACAGUCUCAGUUCGGAUUGAAGUCUGCAACUCGACUUCAUGAAGUCGGAAUCGCCAGUAAUCGCGGAUCAGAACGCCGCGGUGAAUACGUUCUCGGGGUUU
rnacentral:rRNA from 1 species